CCAGACUCCUACGGGAGGCAGCAGUGGGGGAUAUUGGACAAUGGGGGAAACCCUGAUCCAGCGACGCCGCGUGAGUGAAGAAGUAUUUCGGUAUGUAAAGCUCUGUCAGCAGGGAAGAAAGAAAUGACGGUACCUGACCAAGAAGCCCCGGCUAACUACGUGCCAGCAGCCGCGGUAAUACGUAGGGGGCAAGCGUUAUCCGGAAUUACUGGGUGUAAAGGGAGCGUAGACGGUGAUGCAAGUCUGGAGUGAAAGGCGGGGGCCCAACCCCCGGACUGCUCUGGAAACUGUACGGCUGGAGUGCAGGAGAGGUAAGUGGAAUUCCUAGUGUAGCGGUGAAAUGCGUAGAUAUUAGGAGGAACACCAGUGGCGAAGGCGGCUUACUGGACUGUAACUGACGUUGAGGCUCGAAAGCGUGGGGAGCAAACAGGAUUAGAUACCCCCGUAAA
rnacentral:rRNA from 1 species